AAGUCGUAACAAGGUUUCCGUAGGUGAACCUGCGGAAGGAUCAUUAUCGUAAACGGGGGAGGCUACGUGCCCCGCUCCUUACCUUGCCUACUGCACUAUCUGUUGCUUCCUGGCGGCGGACUGCCUGCCGCCAGGGACAUUUUAAAGCCCUUGUAUCAGCAUUGAAACUCUGAAGCAAACCAAAUCGUACAACUUUCAACAAUGGAUCUCUUGGUUCUG
rnacentral:misc_RNA from 1 species